ACGCACGUGUGAAACUUGAAGGAAUUGACGGAAGGGCACCACAAGAACGCGUGGAGCAUGUGGCUUAAUUUGACUCAACACGAGAAAUCUUACCGGGUCCGGACACACUGAGGAUUGACAGGUAUUAUCAAUAUAAUAAUUUAUUAUUAUAUUGUGUUAAAUAUGCUAGUCCUUUCAUGAUUAUGUGAUAGGUGGUGCAUGGCCGUUCUUAGUUCGUGGAGUGAUCUGUCUGCUUAAUUGCGUUUCACUAAGGGUUUAUUCAAAAAGUAUAUUUACAUUGACCCCUUACUUUUCGAAGUUAGCGUGUUGUCUUUGUUAUAUACAUUUAAACCCUGAAAGCAACGAACGUGACCG
rnacentral:rRNA from 1 species